rnacentral:pre_miRNA from 1 species
UUUUUAAUCUAAGUAUGUCCCAUGCAAUAUUUGGGACAUACUUAUACUAGAA